AACGAACGCUGGCGGCAUGCCUAACACAUGCAAGUCGAACGAGACCUUCGGGUCUAGUGGCGCACGGGUGCGUAACGCGUGGGAACCUGCCCUUAGGGUCGGAAUAACUCCCCGAAAGGGGUGCUAAUACCGGAUAAUGUCUUCGGACCAAAGAUUUAUCGCCUUUGGAUGGGCCCGCGUUGCAUUAGCUAGUUGGUAGGGUAAAAGCCUACCAAGGCGACGAUCCAUAGCUGGUCUGAGAGAAUGAUCAGCCACACUGGGACUGAGACACGGCCGAGACUCCUACGGGAGGCAGCAGUGGGGGAUAUUGGACAAUCGGCGAAAGGAUGAUCGAGCAAGGACGCGUGAGUGAUGUAGGCCUGAGGGUUGUAAAGCUCAUUUAACUGGGAUCAUAAUGACAGUACCGAGAGAAUAAGCCCCGGCUAACUCCGUG
rnacentral:rRNA from 1 species